CAGCAGCCGCGGGAAUACGAAGGGGGCUAGCGUUGCUCGGAAUGACUGGGCGUAAAGGGCGCGUAGGCGGCGAUCAAAGUCAGGCGUGAAAUUCCUGGGCUCAACCUGGGGGCUGCGCUUGAUACUUGGUUGCUUGAGUGGGGAAGAGGGUCGUGGAAUUCCCAGUGUAGAGGUGAAAUUCGUAGAUAUUGGGAAGAACACCGGUGGCGAAGGCGGCGACCUGGUCCUUGACUGACGCUGAGGCGCGAAAGCGUGGGGAGCAAACAGGAUUAGAGACCCCGGUAGUCCCUGUCUCUUAUAU
rnacentral:rRNA from 1 species